rnacentral:rRNA from 1 species
AUUUUGAAAAUUACUGGUGAGGGUUGUAGCUGGCCUUUUGGGGCAUGUGCACGCCUGAGCCUUUAAUCCACACACACCUGUGAACCUAAUGUAAGGGCCCGGUAAAAAAGGCNNNAAAUAAAAAACUUAUACACUUUCAACAACGGAUCUCUUGGCUCUCGCAUCGAUGAAGAACGCAGCGAAAUGCGAUAAGUAAUGUGAAUUGCAGAUUUUCAGUGAAUCAUCGAAUCUUUGAACGCACCUUGCGCUCCUUGGUAUUCCGAGGAGCAUGCCUGUUUGAGUGUCAUUAAAUUCUCAACUCCCUGAUUGAUUUCUCGGAGCUUGGACUUGGAGUGUGCUGGCGAAGGUCGGCUCCUCUGAAAUGCAUCAGCGGAAUUCAAUCUUUUGGCUUCUGGAUGUCAGUGUGAUAAUGAUGUUGCGCUGUCGUCCGAGGCUCAAAGGUCCGCUUACAAUGGUCUUUNGACAACUUUAUAUCAAAUUUGACCUCAAAUCAGGUAGGACUACCCGCUGAACU